UACGUAGGGGGCAAGCGUUGUCCGGAAUCAUUGGGCGUAAAGAGCGUGUAGGCGGCCCGGUAAGUCCGCUGUGAAAGUCCAGGGCUCAACCCUGGGAUGCCGGUGGAUACUGUCGGGCUCGAGUCCGGAAGAGGAGUGUGGAAUUCCUGGUGUAGCGGUGAAAUGCGCAGAUAUCAGGAAGAACACCCGUGGCGAAGGCGGCUCUCUGGGACGGUACUGACGCUGAGACGCGAAAGCGUGGGGAGCGAACAGGG
rnacentral:rRNA from 1 species